rnacentral:rRNA from 1 species
GAUGAACGCUGGCGGCGUGCCUAAUACAUGCAAGUCGAGCGAACAGACGAGAGUGCUUGCACUCUCUGACGUUAGCGGCGGACGGGAGAGUAACACGUGGGUAACCUACCUAUAAGACUGGGAUAACUUCGGGAAACCGGAGCUAAUCCCGGUUAAUAUUUAGCUUCGCAUGAAGUAAUAGUGAAAGACGGUUCUGCUGUCACUUUUCUAUGAAACAGGGGUGUAUUAGCUAGUUCGUGAGGUAACUGCUCACCAAGGCAACGAUACAUAGCCGACAUGAGAGGGUGAUCGGCCACACUGGGACUGAGACACGGCCCAGACUCCUACGGGAGGCAGCAGUAGGGAAUCUUGCGCAAUGGACGAAAGUCUGACGGAGCAAUGCCGCGUGAGUGAAGAAGGUUUUCGGAUCGUAAAACUCUGUUGUAAGGGAAGAACAAGUACGUUAGUAACUGAACGUACCUUGACGGUACCUUACCAGAAAGCCACGGCUAACUACGUG